rnacentral:rRNA from 1 species
GAUGAACGCUGGCGGCGUGCCUAAUACAUGCAAGUCGAGCGAUCAGACGAGUAGCUUGCCCCACUGACGUUAGACGCGGACGGGAGAGAAACAAGUGGACCACCUCCCUAUGAGACAGGGAUCAAUUCGGGAACUCGGAGCUCAUACCGGCUAAUAUAUUGAACAGCAUGGUUCAAUAGCGAAAGCGGGUUUUGCUGCCACUUAUAGAUGGAUCAGCUCCGGAUUAGCAAGUUGGCAAGGUAAAGGCUUACCAAGGCGACGAUGGGUAGCAGGCCUGAGAGGAUGAACGGCCACACUGGAACUGAGACACGGUCCAGACUCCUACGGGAGGCAGCAGUAGGGAAUCUUGGGCAAUGGGCGAAAGCCUGACGGAGCAAUGCCGCGUGAAGGAUGAAGGUCUUCGGAUCGUAAAAUGCUUUUAUACGGGAAGAAAAAGUGUUGGAUUAACUAUGCAGGACAUGACGGUACCGUAUCAGAAAGCCACGGCUAACUACGUG